UGGAAUAACAAGAGGAAUAGAAGCCAUGACAAAAGAGAAACAAAUCCCUGCCCGCAAAAUAUUGAGAAUAUAAGCAAUUGCAAAGAUUAAUACGACACUAUGUCCGAACCUAACAACUUACCUGGCUUUUCUUUGUAGGUAUGGUGGUAUUCCUGUUGAUCAGCCUUGUAAAGAUACCUCCCAAAGUCUCAAUACCUAGAGACAAUGGAGUGACAUCCAGAAGCAGCAAUUCUUUCACAUCACCACGGAGAAUACCACCUUGAAUUGCAGCUCCCAUGGCAACUGCUUCGUCUGGAUUUACACCUUUGCAUGGGCUCUUGCCGAAAAUCUCAGAGACAACAUCCUGCACCUUAGGGACACGAGUCAUACCACCAACAAGGAGGACCUCAUCCACCUCUUUCGUCGAUAUUCCAGCAUCCUUCAAACAGUUCUUGCAAGGAUCCCUUGUCCUCUCAAUUAAGCUGGACACCAACGACUCAAAUUUGGAUCUUGUUAAAGUUAUAUUAAGAUGUUUAGCUCCUGAUGCAUCUGCUGUGAUGAAAGGCAAAUUAAUUUCAGUUUGUGUGGUUGAUGAUAGCUCUAUCUUAGCUUUCUCAGCUGCCUCUCGGAGUCUUUGCAGGGCAAGCCUGUCUUUUGACAGGUCAAUUCCAUCUGUCCUUUUAUACUCGUUCACCAAAAAUUCCAACAACGCGUUGUCAAAAUCCUCCCCUCCCAAAAAGGUGUCCCCAUUUGUUGCUUUGACCUGAGUGGUAAAUAGUUAGAGGAUGGUCGGAAUAAAAAACAACAAGAUAAACAGCAUCAGAGAUCAUAAAAAACUUCAAUUACCUCAAAAACGCCAUUUGAUAUUUCCAAUAUAGAAACAUCAAAGGUACCACCACCAAGAUCAAAGACGGCAACAAGACCUUCUUUGUUGUUCAUACCAUAAGAAAGUGCCGCAGCAGUAGGCUCAUUAAUAAUCCUUUGCACAUCAAGGCCUGCAAUUCGCCCCGCAUCCUUGGUUGCCUGCCUUUGAGCAUCAUUGAAAUAAGCUGGAACAGUGAUCACAGCUUUAUUUAUAGACUUCCCUAGAUAGGCCUCUGCAGUUUCCUUCAUCUUUGUUAAAAUAAACGCUCCAAUCUGACUUGCGGAAUACUGCUGUCCAUUGGCUUCAACCCAAGCAUCUCCAUUGGGAGCUCUCACUAUUUUGUAAGGAACCAUCUUCAUUUCCUUCUGUGUCUGGGGAUCAUCAAACCGCCUCCCAAUUAGACGCUUGGUACCAAAUACGGUAUUUGUAGGAUUGGUGACUGCCUGACGUUUGGCCGGAGUACCAACAAGCAAUUCCCCCUUUUGGUUAAAGGCAACUACUGACGGAGUGGUCCUAGAUCCUUCAGCAUUCUCAAUCACUUUAGGGUUCUGCAUGAAUAAAAGCAUCAAACCAUGUCUUAAAUUCACCAAAACCAACUCAGGCUAAGGAGCACUUAAACAGUGAUACCACAAAGGAACAUGUUUAACCCAUUCCUAAUGAACCAGACUCUUACCUUGCCCUCCAUCACUGCAACGCAGGAGUUUGUUGUACCCAAGUCAAUCCCAAUAAUCUCAUUUCCAGCAGGUCUAGAACUGCACCAUAUGAAAGACGAGUUUCAGUAGACAAGUACAUAUUCUAAUCAUAUAGAAAGGUGAAAGAGAUAAGACAAAAGGCAGUUACCAAAACGGUCUGGCUCCAGUAGACAAGUACAUAUUCUAAUCAUACAGAAAGGUGAAAAAGAUAAGACAAAAGGCUGUUACCAAAACGGUCUGGCUAGACCAGCACAUUUAGCACCACCAAGUGUUGGACACCAUAAUGGCUUAGUGUCUGAAGCAAGCUGCAGAAGCCAUACGUAGCACCCACAUAAGCAAAAGUUUAUUUUUCAACAAAAAUUUCUAAUCUUGAUUUUUAAAUUUAAUUUAAAAAAACACAGCAAUGUUCUUAUACGGGAAUCCACUAAUUGCGAACAAAGAAUACCUAUGAAUGUCAACCAGUGAAAGAACCAGGCAUAGACAGCAUCCACAAAGUCAUUCUUGCGACAAAUGGAUGCAUAUCACCCAAUGAACUAAAGAGAAUAUCAUUCCACAUUUAUCUUAACAAACAAAAUGAUAGACUUCUCCCCACUUUAAGAAAAUACAUUAGGAGUUACAAACAUCUUCCUCCCUUGAUAGAAAUCUCCCAAGCAAGCCUGCAAAUUUCACCAUGCUACUCAGAGUAAAUAGUCUCCCACCAUGCCACACGAUACCGAUCACAAAGGCAGGCUCUCUCUCUCCCCCUCCCUCUCAGGAAUAUAUUCCACUAUCUAUCCCUUAAUCCGAAACUAGUUGAUAUCAACUAUUUGAAUAAACCAAUAAGGGCCAUCUCAUCCCAAUGUUAUAUCAUUUUUCUUCUAAGGUGAAUUAUGAGUUCUCUAAAAACUAUUUGAUCCUGCAACCAGGGCCAUUUCAUCCCAAUGAUAUAUGAUUUUUCUUCUACAGUAAAUAUGAGUUCUUUAAGUGUGUGUGUGCUACUAGGGAAAGGACUUCCAGGAAAAUAUGUGAAAGUCGUGUUCUGGUGUCUGGUAUGACACAUGUCAAUUUUCCAUGGAAAACCUUUUCCAUCAAAAGGAGGAAACUGAGUUCCAUCACUUACGGUCGGAAGUCAUUUUACUUGCAACUAUCUUAACUUUUAGCUUCAUGUUAAUUGUUUCAACUAACAAUUACACAUAUUAUCAAACUCUAGUACUCAAAAGUUUCAUCAAAACACUCUCCAAUUUGUUUUUUCUGUUAAAAAAAUAUUUUUCACUCACCAACCAAAGACCAAAAAAUAUUUCUAGGAAAAUGACUUCUUUUAUACCAAACAUACCCUAAAACUAGAUGUUUUUCUAGACCUAACACUUAUCCUUAUACAAACUUACAAUUACGGUCAAAAAAAGCAAUGACCAAAAAACAAAUAGUAUUAUAAACAACAAACACUUCUGGUUGACCAGAAUCCAUUGGAUGCAAAUCCCUACGAAAAUAUAAAAGCCAAAAGACUAGCAGCACCUUAGUGAUAAUUUCAGAAUAUAACAUCAGAAUUCCACACCCCUUUUUUUUGGGCAAAAUACAAGAUUGGCAGAUCGGCAACACUAAUUACAUUAGCUAGCCAACAAGUGUAAAAAAAAUAUUUAUAUUAUAUGUAUAUAAUACACAUUUACGCAAAAAAAAUUUGUGGGCUAUUAUUUUUGAAAUCAGCUAAAAAUUACACAUUUCUCUUCUUUUUUUUUAAAACUACAAUGGGAAAUUAUAUAACAAAAUAUUUUCACUAACACCACAAUCUGAUCUAAAAUCACAAAAUACUGAGAAGAUUAAAGAUUAAACAGCCAACCAUUGUAAAAAUAAUUUAAGGAUAAGAUGGAGGGAGACUUCACAUACAGCUUUAUAAGCAGAAAGAGAAGAAGUAGCAAUGUCACGGCGACGAAGAGAUCUGAGUAAUACGGCGGACGCCAUCGGAGAAAACAGUAAGGAACGACGAGCUUGCAGCUUCUGUUAAUGGAGGCUAGGGUUUAGGGUUUUAGAAAUUAUUCCAGUAGUGGCUUCGUGAAAGGGAAAAUAAAGGUGGCGUGGCGGUGUACAAUAAAACUACGACUGUGUGAGAAAGUUCUAGAGGUAUGCGAUGUCGCCUUCUAUACUCUUAUUUUUCUUUUUUCUGUUUUUUUUUUUUUUGCGUCCAUAAUUUUUUUUUUUUUUUUUGAAUAUUUCAACAUCAACAACAACAAAGUAUAGUCCCACAAAGUGGGGUAUGGGGAGGGUAAUAUGUAAACGAGCCUUACCCCUACCCGAAAGGGCAGAGAGACAGUUUUCAAUCGACCAUCGGCUCAGUGAAGAAAAGGAAAAACAAAAACAAAAACAAAAGAGCAUUAUUAACUCCAGUAGAAAUAGCGUAAAUAAUUAUCUAAACAUAAGAAGCAUAAAUAAGAUAGCAUGCAAUAAUAUCAUACAGUAACUACCACAAAUAACUAUCAUAAGGGAGACACACUCCAAAACACAAAUCAUCUAAGGAUAGCCAUGCCAAGCCUCACCCAACCCCGGGUGAGGAGUACAAAAAACUCUAGGAGUCCCUAGCCUACAACCCUGAUAAUAGACCUCCAGAAUUUCCUGUCAAGGGUCAUGUCCUCGGAAACCCGCAUUCUAGCCAUGACAUGCCUAAUCACCUCUCCCCAAUACCUCUUAGGCCUCCCUCUGCCUCGCCUCACGCCGACCACCAUCAGCCGCUCACACUCCUCAUUGGGGCAUCACUUGCCCGAACCACCUGAGCCUCGCUUCUCGCAUCUUCUCAUCCACCGGGGCCACCCCCUACCAAUUAGGCCUCCCUCUACCUCGCCGAACGCCGACAAUCGCCAGCCGCUCACAACUCCUCACUAGGGCAUCAGGACUUCUCCUCCGCACAUGCACGAACCACCUCAGCCUCGCUUCUCGCACCUUCUCAUCCAUCGGGGCCACCUCCACCUGCUCUCGAAUAACUUCAUUCUUAAUCUUAUCUAACCUGGUGAGCCCGCACAUCCACCUGAGCAUCCUCAUCUCCGCAACCUUUAUUCUCUGNNNNNNNNNNNNNNNNNNNNNNNNNNNNNNNNNNNNNNNNNNNNNNNNNNNNNNNNNNNNNNNNNNNNCAAGAUAUCUGACACUGUCCUUCUUGGCGAUGACCUGAGAUCCAAUCAUCACGUCCCUGCCUACUUCGCUCAGCUCGGCGCUAAACUUGCACUUCAGGUAUUCAGUAUUAGAUCUGUGUAUUUUGAAACCCUUAGACUCGAGAGUCUAUCUCCAUACCUCUAACCUCUCAAUAACACAACCCUCGUCUCGUCUAUCAGGACUAUGUCAUCAGCAAAUAGCAUACACCAAGGCAUAUCCCCUUGAAUAUGCCGGGUUAGAGCAUCCAUCACCAAGGCAAACAAGAGAGGGCUAAGUGCCGAUCCUUGAUGGAGCNNNNNNNNNNNNNNNNNNNNNNNNNNNNNNNNNNNNNNNNNNNNNNNNNNNNNNNNNNNNNNNNNNNNNNNNNNNNNNNNNNNNNNNNNNNNNNNNNNNNNNNNNNNNNNNNNNNNNNNNNNNNNNNNNNNUCCUAACCCUAGUCUUAGCUCCAUCGUACAUGUCCUUGAUUACUCUGAUGUAGGCUUCCGGCACGCUCUUCGCCUCCAAGCACCUCCAUAGCACCUUGUCAUACGCCUUCUCUAAGUCGAUAAUUACCAUGUACAUGUCCUUCUUAUUAUCCCUGAACUGCUCCCCCGACCGCCUGACUUCCUUCUCUAAGAAUUGUCUAGUCAAUUAAUUUUGUGACUCAUUACUAUAAUUUUUUAUAUUUGUGAUAAAUUUUUCCAACAUCUUCAUUUUCACAUGUCAAAAUUUAGAUAAUAAACAUAACCGUAUAACUUUUUAAAUAUUUUCAAUUCAAUACAAAGAUAAAAUAUAUUGACAGUCGCUCAAAUUUGGCACCAAUUAUUUUGAGGGCGGCUCAAAUCAAACCUGGAUCAUAACCUUAAGUUUUAUAAAACAAAACUUUAUUUUUUUUAAGCAUAUUUCUUACAUUUUAAGAUACAAAUUUAUUAAUAAUUAAUAUAAUAUAUAAAAAUAAUUCAUUUAACUUCUCUAUUGACCUUAGGUAAGAUUUUAUUUAUUUUAAUUUAGAAAAAUGUCUUUUUGCUGUUGUAAAUAGCCCGGAAACGGAGUUCAAUUUCUUCCUGUUGUUUGAGAUUUGUUUCAAAUUGCACACUGCAUUUUUAUUAACAGCCCACAGUUUUAAGGGGAAAAUCAGUAGCUGCUUAGGGAGAAAAAUCAGUACUUGUUAAGCUCACCGCUUCACAAUUUUUGUCGGUACAACAUAUAUUCCCAAUUUUAGCUUGCCUUAGUUUGCUAACUUAGUAUAGAAAAUAUUUUCGAAACUGAAAACUACUUGAGUCCGAAAUGGAUUGAAUUGUUUUCGAAUUUAAAACAACAACAAACCCAAUAUAAUUCCACAAGUACGGUCGGAAAAAAUAGAGUAUAGUAAGACUUUACCCCUACAGCAAUAUAGGCAGAAACACACAGCCAAAGAAAAAAAAACUUAAAAGACAAGGGGAGCAAUAUAUCUCCAAUUAAGCAAUUUAUUUGGCAAUAGCCGGCGUGGUUCAUUUUCACCUGUGAAUGCGUUCACAAAAAUUCUACUAUUGGCUAAUCAUAGUAAAGUUUGGUCUCAUCUCUCUACCUGGAGAACAAAAAAUCAGAAGCAUAAGCAGUUCAAAUAAACUUUCUAGUUACAGAAGCUAGGGGAGAAAAUAGGACGUUGACACAGAAAAUUUCAUUUUCAACAAAAGAAUGAGGAUAAAAGACAACUCCAAUAUGCCAUCCUCAGUGUUUACCAGGAAAUUCUACUUCUUCACUUCCUCAUACUCGGCCUCAGGGGCUCCCCCUUGAGAACCUCCUUCAGAGCCGCCUUCAGAGCCACCUCCGGCACCACCGGCCAUAUGCUGUCCAAUCUUAGAAACAGCCUUGUUUGCUACAUCAAGCUUCGAUUUGAUUUCAUCAACAUUAUCGCCUCCCAUUGCCGUUCUCAAGUCGGAAACAGCUGUUUCAAUUUCUGUUGCCACCUCCUUGGGGACCUUGUCCCUGUACUCGUUCAAGCUCUUUUCGAUACUGUAUAUGGUUGUGUCUGCACUGUUCCUGAUAUCAAUCAGUGCCUUCCGCUCCUGAUCCCUCUGGGCAUGCAACUCAGCUUCCUUGACCAUCUUGUCUAUCUCAUCUUCUGAGAGUCCACCAGAUGAUCGAAUGGUGAUCUGCUGUUCUUUGCCAGUGGCCUUGUCCUUGGCAGAGACCGUGACAAGUCCAUUUGCAUCUAUGUCAAAUGUGACUUCUAUCUGAGGCAGACCCCUUGGUGCAGGAGGAAUACCAACAAGUUCAAAUUCCCCAAGCAUCUUAUUAUCAGAUGCCAUCUCUCGCUCACCUUGCAAGACCUUAAUGCCAACCUGGGUUUGGUUAUCAGCAGCAGUAGAGAACACCUGGAAUAAAAAGAGGAGGCAGCAAAAUGUUAGAAGCCAUGACCAAAGACAAACAAAUCAUGCAUUUAUCGCAUUGAGAAUAUAGGCAGUUAGCCAGUUAUAAAGAUAAAAAUGACAUGUCCGAACCUAACGACUUACCUGGCUUUUCUUUGUAGGUAUGGUGGUAUUCCUGUUGAUCAGCCUGGUAAAGAUACCUCCUAAAGUCUCAAUACCUAGAGACAAUGGAG
rnacentral:lncRNA from 1 species